ACAGAAACCAGAACUUGCUUUUCCCGCCUAGCACCUGCUCACAGUGUAUGUGGUAAUAAACCCAGAACAGAGCAAUGCUAAGGAGCAGGUGCUGCUCAAAACGAUUAUUUCUGGUCAGAAUGAAAGCGAGGAUCUGAGAGCCAUGGAGACUCCCAGGAGGGCAGUGGCAGUAGGGUCUCUGCUGGAUUCAUUCAGUGGGAUUGGCAAAGAUGAAAAAAUUUGAUGAACUACCUUGGUGUGAACAUGAGAAAGCAUGCUGAUGGUGGAGAGUAAACCAGAACAAUCUUUACAAAGAGACGUGGAUUAUGAACUAACAAGUGUGAACACAAAACCCUCGAUCCAGCAAUUUCACCUAUAGGAAUUUAUCUUACAGAUCAGAGGAACUCCAAGGGGAUGACAGGGUGGCAACAAGAAGAGCACCAUUGCACCACCCCAUUUCUAAGGAUUUCUGGUUAUUGUUAAACAAGAGUUUGGAGAAGUUAAACUGACAGGAAACAACACACAUGUUGAGUUAUAAGGUG